CCCCUGUAUAAGGUGGAUUCCGUCUUAUAGUUAAUAAGUUAGCCUACGGAGGCAGAUCAGCCUGACAGGAUUUCAGCUCAGCAGCGAAGAUGUGGACUUCUGUAUUAGAUUCAGCCUUUAUUGGAUGCCUGUCACCCUGACAACGCCACAGUGAGGAACCAAUAGGCAUAUGUGGUACAGUAGGACUUGUGUCUGAUUGGCAAGAAAGUCAGAGAAGGCCUCAACUGGACAGGAGUGUCACAGCAGUGACCCCAGUGCCUCUGAGGUGAAGAUUAAUCACAGCUGUGGGGAGAAUAGGAUGAAGAAGUAGCACACCUGCUCCUGGGAAGAAAACCACAAAGAAAAGAAGUGGCAAAAAUAGAAGGAAGAAGAAGGAAGCCUUACUGGCAUGGCUUUCCACUGCUGGAGAAAGAUCUUGGAUGAAAUUUGAUGCUGAACUUGCAACAUUUCUUCUGGACUGAUCAAGUCCUGAUCAGCCCUGCGAUGGACUGGCG